UGAGAUGCAAACAUUACGUGUGUGUUACAUU
rnacentral:piRNA from 1 species